rnacentral:rRNA from 1 species
UGGGGAAUCUUCCGCAAUGGGCGCAAGCCUGACGGAGCAACGCCGCGUGAGUGAAGAAGGUUUUCGGAUUGUAAAACUCUGUCCAGGGGGAAGAAGAGAGUGACGGUACCCCUGGAGGAAGCCCCGGCUAACUACGUGCCAGCAGCCGCGGUAAAACGUAGGGGGCGAGCGUUGUCCGGAAUUACUGGGCGUAAAGGGCGUGUAGGCGGCAUAGCAAGUCCAUAGUGAAACCCGACGGCUCAACCGUCGACGUGCUAUAGAAACUGCUAAGCUUGAGUGCAGGAGAGGGGAGUGGAAUUCCCAGUGUAGCGGUGAAAUGCGUAGAUAUUGGGAGGAACACCAGUGGCGAAAGCGGCUCCCUGGCCUGUAACUGACGCUGAGGCGC